rnacentral:lncRNA from 1 species
AAUUAUUUCUAUUCUAUCCUCUAUUAGCUCUAAUAAAGAUAAUCUGUUAUAUUAAACCACUGAUGGCUAAUUUUAAAAUUCUAAGUUGAAUCGCGUUUAACGGCACGAUCGAAACAGAUACGAAAAGCGACGAUAAGACUUAACCUCGCGCAUGCGCAAACUGUGGACUUUAUCGGUCAGAGCUGAACCGUGGCUGUCAGGAAACUUUUUAUUAUUUACUAAAAUAUACAAUAUAUUGACUAUUGCAAUGAUGGGGAUUCGCUAUACAGGUAGCCUUCGGUUUACGCCGCUGUUCCGUUCCUACAAAAGCCAGCGCAAAUCGAAUCGGCGUAAAAUGAACCUAUAUUUACAGUGAGGUAUAGGAUUAGGUUCUACAUAGGUGAAAAAUAAG